rnacentral:rRNA from 1 species
AUUGAACGCUGGCGGAAUGCUUUACACAUGCAAGUCGAGCGGCAGCGCGGAGGCAACCCUGGUGGCGAGUGGCGAACGGGUGAGUAAUGCAUCGGAACGUACCCAGUCGUGGGGGAUAACGCAGCGAAAGUUGUGCUAAUACCGCAUACGACCUGAGGGUGAAAGCGGGGGACCGUAAGGCCUCGCGCGAUUGGAGCGGCCGAUGUCUGAUUAGCUAGUUGGUGGGGUAAAGGCCCACCAAGGCGACGAUCAGUAGCGGGUCUGAGAGGAUGAUCCGCCACACUGGGACUGAGACACGGCCCAGACUCCUACGGGAGGCAGCAGUGGGGAAUUUUGGACAAUGGGGGCAACCCUGAUCCAGCCAUGCCGCGUGCGGGAAGAAGGCCUCGGUUGUAACCGACUUCGUACGGAAGAAAGUACGCAUGGACGUAAUACUACUGUGUGG